CCUACGGGAGGCAGCAGUGAGGAAUAUUGGUCAAUGGACGAGAGUCUGAACCAGCCAAGUAGCGUGAAGGAUGAAUGCCCUAUGGGUUGUAAACUUCUUUUAUCUGGGAAUAAAAUGAUCCACGUGUGGGAUUUUGUAUGUACCAUAUGAAUAAGGAUCGGCUAACUCCGUGCCAGCAGCCGCGGUAAUACGGAGGAUCCGAGCGUUAUCCGGGUUUAUUGGGUUUAAAGGGAGCGUAGGUGGAUUGUUAAGUCAGUUGUGAAAGUUUGCGGCUCAACCGUAAAAGUGCAGUUGAAACUGGCAGUCUUGAGUACAGUAGAGGUGUGCGGAAUGCGUGGUGUAGCGGUGAAAUGCUUAGAUAUCACGAAGAACUCCGAUUGCGAAGGCAGUUCACUGGACUGCAACUGACACUGAGGCUCGAAAGUGUGGGUAUCAAACAGGAUUAGAUACCCGUGUAGUC
rnacentral:rRNA from 1 species